rnacentral:rRNA from 1 species
CAGCCGCCGCGGGAAUACGAAGGGGGCUAGCGUUGCUCGGAAUUACUGGGCGUAAAGGGAGCGUAGGCGGACAUUUAAGUCAGAGGUGAAAUCCCGGGGCUCAACCUCGGAAUUGCCUUUGAUACUGGGUGUCUUGAGUAUGAGAGAGGUAUGUGGAACUCCGCGUGUAGAGGUGAAAUUCGUAGAUAUUCGGAAGAACACCAGCGGCGAAGGCGACAUACUGGCUCAUUACUGACGCUGAGGCUCGAAAGCGUGGGGAGCAAACAGGAUUAGAUACCCCGGUAGUCCCUGUCUCUUAUAC